UCUCUCCAGUUAAGGGGGAUCCAAAGGCCACGUGGCUCUGAAUUUCUCUGGACUGGGGGACAUGGGAGUUCCUUUUCCAAGUUUGAGCCUCUGAGUCUCUGAGGAGAGUCCCUCAUUGGAAUCCAGGUGCUCCUUUGGCGCUGGGCCAGGAUUUACCACCAAUUCCUCAGGCCUGAGAAACCGGCAUUGAAGGCUCUCGUCGGUGCCCUGUCUCAGCCUGGCCAGAAGGGGGAGUCCUGGAAAAUGCCAGGCACCUGGCAUACACGGCGGGCCUGGGAGCCAAGGACCGGGCUUGGAGGACCCUGAAAGUAGCUGCUCUGAGGAGAAAGGAGGCAAGAUGGGCCCCGAGAGGUGGGUCCAGUUACAGCAGAGGCAGGACUCUGGAGGAGCUAGGCUGGCCUUGAUUCGGUAUGUAGCUGAAGAUGGCCUUGAACUCCUGACUCCAGCUCCUGAGUGUGGGCAUCACAGACCUGGGACUUCCUGCCUAUCAGCUGAGCCUGUGUGCACGGUCGUCGGAUGCCUGCUGAGUCACUUUGCCAAGGAAGUCUUCCCCGCUGUCCCCAGCACCCCCAGCAUCGUCCCCUUGGUGUCGAGCAGCAGGUGCAUGUGGCUCACAAAGACUAGGUCCUGAGGUACUCAGGGACUGGAAGAUGUGAGGACACCGGAGACCAGUAGGAUCCUCUUAUUGUAGUAAUACCUGGAAAAUGGAGGGAGGAAGAGACUCAGCACCUCCUCCAUCAACCUAGUGGAUAACUGGAGGAUACCAGCCAUCUUCCCACAGCCAGGGCAAUUCCCAAGCCCUGCCACAGUGGGAAGCAGCCUGGAGUGCCAGGAACCACAUGCAGCCCUUUUCCUUGACCGCUCCCUCUUAUACUGCUGGCUACCUCCCCUCACCUGAGGGCCCGGCUCAGCUUGUCAUAGUUCAUCUGCGGCUUGCACUUCCUGCGGCCCCAGAGGCGGGCCACUUCGUCUGGGUCCUUGAUGACGAACUCCCCGUAUUCUCCCUGCUGCCAGGCGAUGACAUGGCGGAACUCUUCCUUCUGCAGCAGCUCCAGGAUGAAGUGCCACAGCUGGAUCUGCCGGGAGCCUGGCGACGACUCGGCUUUGAAGGCCCAAUCGGGGAAGGCCAGACCUGGCGUGGGGGGAGCGUGAGGGUCACCUACUGUCCUAGGGCCCCACCCAAGUCAACUUGAAGAGCCUGGGGAGGAGGCCGGGAGUCUCACCUGAGAUCCAGUAGUUGACAGGGGUGGUCUGGAUGCCUUCCGAGAAGCAGCGGCAGUACAUGGUGAGUGGUAGGUGAGAAAGGCUUGAGUCUGAACCUCAGGCCUGCUGAAAACAACGGAAAGAAUGGAGGUGAGGAAGGAAGAGUCCAGGACAGAAAGGGAGCUAAGGCAAGAGUUUCCUUGUAUGCAGGGUAAGCCCAACCUGUGGGGACCUCCUUGGCUCAGAGGCUACCCCCCUCCCCCCGGGUGGUGGCUUGGGUCAGAGCCCAAGGAGAAACGGCAAAUGGUCCUCCAUCCUGAGCCGAGAUGGAGGAUUGAGACCGAGAGACAAACGGUCCUUAGGGCUCAGCAGGAUUUUGAUUUUGAGAAGAGGGAAUGGUAUUUAUUUUUCUUUACGUUGAGUAGAGGAGCGGUGGCCUGUAUACAUACUGCCAACGUUUUCUGGUUGUUUUGAGACAGGUUCUCAUGUAGUUCGCCGGCUGAGUCUCCCUCGGUGCAGCUGAAGCGAAGUUGACCUUGAACUCCUGACCCCGCCGCUGCCACCCGCUGAGUGCUGGUAGUGUUGGCAUGCACCACCACACUUGGCCUCCCCUUCUGGUAACUUUUACAACAGUUUCACAUUGGAGAAAGGCAGGGAUUUUUGUGUUGUUUUCACCAAAGCCCAAAGGCCUGGUGCACAGUGGACCCUAAGUGACCGCUGACAGAAUAAACGACCGCUAAUGACGUUCCAAUGCUCUCAUUCUU